AUGCCGUCGGUUUCGAAAGCGGCGGCGGCGGCGGCGGCGGCUGGGGUGGGCGGGGGGCCGAGCGGGUCCCCGCCGCAGACGGAGAAGCCCACCCACUACAGGUACCUGAAGGAGUUCCGCACGGAGCAGUGCCCCCUGUUCCUCCAGCACAAGUGUGCCCAGCACAGACCGUUCACCUGCUUCCACUGGCACUUCCUCAACCAGCGGCGCCGCAGGCCCAUCCGCAGGCGCGACGGCACCUUCAACUACAGCCCCGACGUCUACUGCACCAAAUACGACGAGACCACAGGCGUCUGCCCCGCCGGAGACGGCUGCCCUUAUUUACAUCGGACAACUGGGGACACCGAGAGAAAAUAUCAUCUCCGCUAUUACAAGACCGGCACGUGUAUCCAUGAAACAGAUGCCCGUGGACACUGCAUGAAAAAUGGAUUCCACUGUGCCUUUGCCCACGGCCCACUGGACUUGCGACCACCGGUCUAUGAUAUAAGGGAACUUCAGGCCCAGGAAGCCUUACAAAAUGGCCAGCUGGGCAGCGGCGAGAGCCCCCCGGACCUGCAACCCGGAGUCCUAGCGAGCCAAGCGAUGAUCGAGAAAAUCAUCGGAGAGGACCCCCGGUGGCAAGACACGAACUUUGUCUUGGGCGGCUACAAGACGGAGCAAUGCACCAAACCCCCCCGCCUCUGCCGCCAGGGCUACGCCUGCCCCCACUAUCACAACAGCAGAGAUAGAAGGCGGAACCCCAGGAAAUUCAAAUACAGGUCCACCCCGUGCCCUAACGUGAAACACGGUGAUGAGUGGGGCGAGCCUUCCAAAUGUGAAAGUGGGGACAACUGUCAGUAUUGUCACUCGCGCACCGAGCAGCAGUUUCAUCCUGAGAUCUACAAGUCGACAAAAUGCAACGACAUGCGGCAAACUGGCUACUGCCCCCGUGGCCCGUUCUGUGCGUUUGCACACGUCGAAAAAGACCCGCUGAAUGUCGUCAUGAUGCCAACGGGCGGUCAGCCAAAGCCAGCCCACCUGUUCUCCGCCGAGAGCAUAGGAAUCGCCAAUGACUGGAACUGCCACGACUUUAGCUCCUCAAGCAACAACGGGCAACCCAGCAACAUCUCGUGUUCCAAUAACCCAGCAGUGACCUCCAGCGCUGCUAGCAGUAGUCCCCUGUCACCCAUUGGACCCCCUUGUAGGCAGAGGUCAUUAGCAAACGGGGCCCUGUGUUCCGAUCCCACCACGUCAGUCGUGUCUUCACCGACUUCUAGCUAUCCAAAAGCACCGGGGUUUGAACGAGAGGACCAGGCAAAACAGAGAAGUUUGUCAAAUGAGAGUAACCAGAAAAUCAGUGAACAAGACAAUAAACAGAGCCACCACAGUGUGUUUGCAGUGGCCGAUCCACUUGCUUCUAGCGUAACAUCCAGUAUAACUUCGAGUCUGGCUUCCAGUAUUGGAUCGGACAGCUCAAAUCCCACCACCCUGUCCGCCGUCAACCCCAAAGCUCUCCCCUUCUGCCCUUCGAAUGAUAUGGUCGAGCCAGUAAUAGGUGAAGAGCAGGAAGAUCCAGAAAGCGGUGACCUGAGUGUGACAAGUCAAAGGUUACUGGGAAGCUCCGCACCAGUGAACAUUCCAGGGUGUCUUGCCCGUUCUCCAUCUCUGCAUUCCCCCUCAUCCGUGUCCACCUCUCCGCUGGGCUCCCUGCCUCCUCGCCAGCCACAGCCUCAGCAUCUGAAACCCGAAGCUGGUGCGCCAGGCCCCCCCACCGCCGCCCCCCAUAAUUCUCUAGGUUUGAAUGGUGUGACGGGCAGCAUCUGGGACUUUGUGAGCGGGAACUUCUCCCCCAGCCCCUCUCCCAUCCUGAGCCCGGGGACGGCCCCGGCGGGUGGUGCGGCCCCUGAUGGGGCCGGGGCUGGGGCCGGGGGUGAGCUGGCCCGGGUCCGCUGGGAGCUGGACGAGGCCAAGAGGAAGAUCAAGCAGUGGGAGAACUCGUGGCAGCAGGUGAAACAGGCCUGCGACGCCUGGCAGAGGGAGGCGCGGGAGGCCAAGGAGCGAGCCAAGUUGGCCGCCACGGACAAGCAGCUGGCGCUGCAGAAGAAGGACGAGGUGGAGAGCCAGCUGAGGCGGCUGCAGGAGGAGCUGGAGGGGCUGGGGCUGGGCCCGGGGUCGAGCCGGGGCUCAGUCGUGAAGUUCCCCGCCCUCAGGGGCUUCGGCGACAUGGAGAAGAUCCCCCUGGCCCAACUGCACUCCCUGCAGAACCAGCUGCGCCUGGACUUGGAGGCUCUGGACAGGGUGAUCUUCCAGCUGCGCUCCAAGAAGUGCACAGCGUGCCACGAGCGGGACCGGACCGCGGUCCUGCAGCCGUGCCAGCACUACGUACUCUGCGAGCACUGUGCCGCCGGGAAGCCCGAAUGCCCUUACUGCCCGGUGCAGCCCGCCAGGUGGUGACCGCCUCUGCCGGAGGCCGGUGGUCCUCAAGCCCCGGUCACCCGCCAGAUCGAGAUUUCACGUUCCAGUAUUUUCCAUAAAAGCGAUGCGGGAGACGGGCCGACGGGGGACCGGGCCCAUCUCACUUCGGACGUCCCGAUGCCGCCGGCCGACCGCCGUCGUCUUAACCCGUGAUUCCUUCUUGCACCCCUCUUCCUGGUUCAGGUUCUUGUCGGGGGCAGAACACGCGGUCACCCCAGGGCGGACCCCGCCCGCCUCCAGUUUCAACUUGGGUUUCUGCCGGGCGACACGAUCCCGGUGCAGGCCAGAUGCUUCGUUCGGGGCCGAGAUAUCCCGGAUGUCCGUGCUAUCCCUGCCACGGUCUAAAGGUUCUUUUACUUUGCAUUAGUAUUUAUGAGCUCCUGGUCUCCUCUUCGGAUAGGGAGGUGGAGGCCCUUCUUCUGCCAUCGACCGUUCACGUUCUGAACUGGAUGCCCUGAGCUGAUCUGGUGAGUUUGUCAUCCAUUCAUUCAGUCGUAUUUAUUAAGCGCUGUGUGCAGAGCGUUGUACUGAGGGCUUAGUAUUAAGCGCUAAGUUCAGCCUAGCCCGGGCGAGACAGACAGACACGGUUUGCUCCUCGUGGCCCGACCCACGUGUCUUUGAGCAGAGGAGGAAUAGACUGUAAGCUCGUUGAGGG